GGGGGAUCCUGCCGCGAUGGCCCUGGUGAUUUGCUACUGCAUCGUCUACUGCUUCAACCACGACGCCGUCAUCUACUGCUUGAACCACGAUGUCGGUUCUUCGUCGACCUCCACCACGCGCGCUGGCAUCCGUCCAUCUCCGGCCAUGGUGACCGCGGAUCUCCGACCAUGAUGGGGUAAGGAGUUGAAAGGCGCAGGUGGUCAGGCCUGCAAUGAGUGCGCCCUCCUGGUCUGCCGCCCUUGCUAUGAGUAUGAACAUGAGGAUGGCGUACAACAAGGAGUUGACGGCCUACUCAAGCGCCAAGGGAAGGCGGCAGGCUGGCAGCGCCACCAAGAGCCCAACACGAACCUCCAAUAUUGAGUCCUACCUGUAAUUCACGGAUAAGGUUGGUUGUGCCCCUCUGCUGGAGGAUCUCAGUCCAACUACUCUGGAUGCAUCUAUGACAUGGUGGACAAGGCAGUAGAAGCAUGUGACAUGGCAGCCAAGGGAGUUGUUUUGUGGGAUGAAGUGUUGGUAAAGACAACAAGCCCCAAGGAUCUGCAUAUGCGUUGCAAGUAACUCUGCCGCAACCGCGGCCGGCUGUGCUUCUUCCUUGGCUACAAACCACCUAGGUGAAUGGAACUCCGUUGAGGACUUCUACCCAUGUUGAAGAGCAGCUAGCUUUUGUACUGGUAGAGCGGUCUAUUUGUAGAUCCCAUUAUUUAUGAUUGUGUGGAUCUGGGUGAAGUUUGAAGUUCCUGAGUAUGCAAGAUUCGAUGGUUAAACUGGUUGAUGUGAUGUGAAUGAUUGUAUGAAAACUGGUUGUUGUGAUGUGAAUGAGUGUAUGUAGUUUCACGUGUUCUGUUCUGUAUAGCAUAUUAUAAUAAACUUAUUUUAGCUAUUAUUUGAAGAUUUUCA